rnacentral:rRNA from 1 species
UCUGAUCACGAGAGCACUUAAGAUCUCGAAGUGUGUGGAAGGGUGUCCAAGAAAAACUUCUAAACGUUAAAGCAAGGUUGACCGUACUAAAACUGACACAGGUAGGUAAGAAGAGUAUUCUAAGGCGCUCGGGAGAACGGUGGUUAAGGAACUCUGCAAAAUGGCUCCGUAAGUUCGCGAUAAGGGGCGCCUACGAAAGUAGGCCACAGAAAAUCGGCACUAGCGACUGUUUAUCAAAAACACAGGACUCUGCGAACUCGUAAGAGGAGGUAUAGAGUCUGACGCCUGCCCGGUGCUGGUAGGUUAAGGAAGAGAGUUAGCAGCAAUGCGAAGCCCGCGACCGAAGCCCCAGUAAACGGCGGCCCUAACUAUGAGGGUCCUAAGGUAGCGAAGUUCCUUGUCGGGUAAGUUCCGACCUGCAUGAAAGGCGUAACGACUGGUGCACUGUCUCAACCACCGACCCGGUGAAAUUGUAGUUGUGGUGAGGAUGCCACAUACCCGCGGCUAGACGGAAAGACCCCAUGAACCUUCACUGUAGGCUGAUAUUGGGUUGAGGUAUGUAUUGUGCAGAAUAGCUGGGAGGCUUUGAACCGGGGACGCAAGUUCACGGGGAGCCAUCGUUGAGAUACCAGCCUGUAUAUGCUUUAAUUCUAACUUUGACCCAUGAAUCUGGACUUAGGACAUUGUCAGUUGGGCAGUUUGACUGGGGCGGUCUCCUCCUAAAGAGUAACGGAGGAGCGCAAUGGUACCCUCAGCCUGGUCGGCAAUCAGGCAAAGAGCGUAAAGGUAUAAGGGUGCUUGACUGCGAGACAAAUGAGUCGAGCAGGUACGAAAGUAGGUCUUAGUGAUCCGGUAAUUCCGAAUGGAAGGGUUAUCGCUCAUCAGAUAAAAGGUACUCUGGGGAUAACAGGCUUAUCGCCACCGAGCGUCCACAGCGGCGUGGCGGUUUGGCACCUCGAUGUCGGCUCAUCGCAUCCUGGGGGUGAAGAAGCUCCCAAGGGUUUGGCUGUUCGCCAAUGAAAGCGGUACGUGAGCUGGGUUCAGACCGUCGUGAGACAGGUCGGUCCCUAUCUACCGUGGGCGCACGAAACUUGAAGAGGUUCAACCUUAGUACGAGAGGAUUUGGUUGGACGUAGCUCUGGUGUACCAGUUGUCACGCUAGUGGCACGGCUGGAUAGCUAACUACGGAAAGGAUAAACGCUGAAAGCAUCUAAGCGUGAAGCCCUCUCUGAGAUGAGGUUUCGUAGCUACUUGUAGCGAGAGUCCCCUGGUAGACUACCAGGUUGAUAGGCUAGAUGUGUAAGCACCGUAAGGUGUUCAGCUUACUAGUACUAAUGGACGAACGCUUGACCAU